UCAGAACGAACGCUGGCGGCAGGCUUAACACAUGCAAGUCGAGCGCCCCGCAAGGGGAGCGGCAGACGGGUGAGUAACGCGUGGGAACGUACCCUUUGCUACGGAAUAGCUCCGGGAAACUGGAAUUAAUACCGUAUGUGCCCUUCGGGGGAAAGAUUUAUCGGCAAAGGAUCGGCCCGCGUUGGAUUAGCUAGUUGGUGGGGUAAAGGCCUACCAAGGCGACGAUCCAUAGCUGGUCUGAGAGGAUGAUCAGCCACAUUGGGACUGAGACACGGCCCAAACUCCUACGGGAGGCAGCAGUGGGGAAUAUUGGACAAUGGGCGCAAGCCUGAUCCAGCCAUGCCGCGUGAGUGAUGAAGGCCCUAGGGUUGUAAAGCUCUUUCACCGGAGAAGAUA
rnacentral:rRNA from 1 species